AACGAACGCUGGCGGCAUGCCUAACACAUGCAAGUCGAACGAGACCUUCGGGUCUAGUUGCGCACGGGUGCGUAACGCGUGGGAACCUGCCCUUAGGUUCGGAAUAACUCCCCGAAAGGGGUGCUAAUACCGGAUAAUGUCCUCGGACCAAAGAUUUAUCGCCUUUGGAUGGGCCCGCGUUGGAUUAGCUAGUUGGUAGGGUAGAAGCCUACCAAGUCGACGAUCCAUAGCUGGUCUGAGAGGCUGAUCAGCCACACUGGGACUGAGACACGGCACAGACUCCUACGGGAGGCAGCAGUGGGGAAUAUUGGACAAUGGGCGAAAGCCUGAUCCAGCAAUGCCGCGUGAGUGAUGAAGGCCUUAGGGUUGUAAAGCUCUUUUACCCGGGAUGAUAAUGACAGUACCGGGAGAAUAAGCUCCGGCUAACUCCGUG
rnacentral:rRNA from 1 species